GAUGUAGCUCAUUCGGGUAGAGCACCAGACUUCUAAUCUGGGUGUAGCGGGUUCGAAUCCCGCCAUCA
rnacentral:tRNA from 1 species